GAUGUGUCAGUAGUUUGUAGUUGAUUGUGAAUGUGUGUGUGAUACUCAGAGCAGGACUGGAGCUCCGACGACAGACAACAGGAGCAUCAGCUGAUGUCACGCCUGCUGUCAAUCAUCCAGCAGAGGAAUGACAUCAUCAGCAGCCUGGAUCAGGACAGGAAGAGGGAGGAGGAGGAGGACGAGAUGCUGACGGCUGUGAUCCAGAGGAUGGAGCUCCUGACACAGCCGGACAAACAGCCGGACAAAUGCAGCAGGUUUAAACGUCUUCAGAUGUUCAAGAAAUCCAGCCGUAAGACUGAAAACACCAGCAGAAGAAAGAAGAAAAACAGCUGAAGAACAGAAAGAGACUUAAGAUGCUUAUUCAGAAAUGUACAGUAACGGUAAAAACACCCUUCAGGACAAACUGAACCGUUUCUACCCCUUUUGUUUAUUUUUACACUUAUAUGUCUGUAUUUUUAAUUAUUUUUAUAAUUAUUAUUAUAUGACACACUUUUAUAAUUAACCAGGAAAGUUUCUUCUUUUAAAACUAGGAUAUUUGUGCGAGAGGAUUUGGAAAAUGUUCCAUUCACGUUUCCUCAACAUAUAGGUUCUGUGAACGUCUCUGCUACUCAGACCAAUUUAUAUUUAUUUGAAAUUAAAAAUUCAUAAUUUCAUGUACUUCUUUACUUUAAAUUAUUCCGUUUUGUGGUAUAGUUGUGUGAGUGUUUUUAUGGCUAACUGGGGAAACAGCUGUAACAUAAGAGUUCAUCAUCAGACACUAAAACUAUCCAAACUUUUUUUG
rnacentral:lncRNA from 1 species